UGGUUGACGCUGCUGUCGAAGUUGGAUGAUAUUGCUCACGGAGGAGGCUUCUGAGAAGGGCAUAAAUGGGUUUUAAAAAAGCAGUGAAUUGGAAUGGGAAUGGCAGAUAAAGAGAAACACAUUUUCUGCAUUUUCUAAUGAUUACUCACAUAGUUGAGCCUUGCACGUUAUAUUUAUUAGAACGACCACCCCCCAUUUAGUUUUCCUUUGAAGAGUCUUUCUUGUAAACCGUGGGUGCGUGUGUGUUUGCGUCCCGAUCUGCCAGGGCUGGGCGCCAAGUGCAAAGUGCGCAGCCGCGAAGUGGAGUCGGCGCCGGCGGGAGCGCGGGGCUCAGGGCCAGGGCCCGCCUCCAGGGGGCGGUGUGCGCCCCCGGCGCUGGAGCAGCCGCGUUUCGGGGACCCGGGCAGGCGUGGGGGGCUGCGCUGAGCUCCAGGCCUCCUGCAGGUGCAAUAAGAAUCGUAUUACUAAUGUGGUGUCCUCUGGAAUGGUCACAUGAACACAGUUCCCUGCAGAUGUAAUUGGGAGAGAAGGCACAGUCCUGACACAGGGUAAGACUGUGGAGGUGUAUUGCUGUCCCUACCAGGUUUCUCCUUCUCGUCUUCCAAAGCUGUGCCUUAACUUCCUCGAAAGACAACAUCAGUGCUGGCGGGCCUCAAGAAGAGCCAUCCCAAGGUAUUGACUAGGCAUCAGCGUCUUCACCAGGGCAACACAGAACAUCCCUGCAGAGUUCCUGGUGGCUGCAGUGGCUGGUAGGGGAUGUAUGCCUGCUUUCCAUCAGAUUCCCAAAGCGGAGCCCCUGGAGGCUUUGGCCCAUGGCCCUGAAGCUCCCUUUCACAAGGAAGAAAGACUUUGCAAAGCCAACACCACUAUUGGAGAGAAAGUGGAGAAUGUGUAUUAGAAGUACUAGUCUUUGAAGGCAAAACAGCUGUAUAGAGUGAGCUUAAGUGCUGGAUCCCUGUGGUUAGGAAGGGACACUAAGCCUCCGGGAUGUGAGAGUCCCAUGGAAGGCAGUAGGCCCAGGAUAAAGCAGGUGUCAGCUCAGAAAGCCCACCAUCACCCAGAAAAGGGAAGAAAUACGCUACCACCAUCACUCUUUCUGCCAAUGACUUCUUUGCACACCUCCACCCUAUCUCCUGGCUCAGUCUCCCAUGUUCUCAUAGCUAGGGAGGUCUCCAUUGUAAUUUGUAUGGGGAGGUUAACCUAUAGGCCAUUCUGAUGAUCCCAGCUCCCUUUCACUACAACCCCCGUCUGCAUCCUUUGCUUUGCAGUAGGAUUUGAGAGAGGAAGGAUGAAGAUGUAGCCACAGGAUACAUUUAAACAGGCACAGAGUUUGAGGGGUGGGGGGGAACAAAAGCAAAACAAUAAAACCUUCACCAGUCAUUAAAGAAAUGAAAAUGAACCUUUUGAGAUUGUCAAUUUUUAUCUGCUAAGUCAAGAAAAGCUAAUUUAAUUCCUGGCAAUUUCACAAUAAAAAAAAUUGUGCUAGCUCUUGGUGGCAUUGUAAGUAGUUAAAGGCUUUUUGGGAAGUAAUUUGAAAUACAUCAAGUCUUGAAAAUGAUUAUACCAGUGGAUCCAAUCAUCUCGCUGGUGGAAAUUCAUCUGAAGGAAAUGAUUCAGUGGAAAAAACAACCCGUCUACACUUGUUGCACCUAAAUGUCCAGGAAUAAGGGAAUGACAGAAGAAAUCUCAGCACAUUCUCUGAAUGGAACAGAAACCGAGCGUUUGGAACUAGAAUUGCGCAGACUGAAUUGAAUAUGGAAGUGGCUUUAAAUGGCAUGUUAGGUGGAAACACUGGAUGUCUGGUUGAAAUUUGGUAAGACACACAUUCCCAUGGUCAGAAUCGGAAAAUUUCAACAAAUGAAAAUCAUGGGGUUCACAAAGAGGUGUUGUGGGUUAUAGAAAGCUAUUUUCAAAAAUUUCUUUAAUGAUUCAAAAUUGUUUUUCAAAAAAAGUAGAAGAUUUAGAAACAUGUAUUUUAGGAAGUAUGGCCCAUGGUGUCUAUUGGAAAAAAAGUGGAAGACCUGAUGCAUUGCCCAAGGGGAACUUCUAGCUUAAGAUUACACUGAUGAGGACUGGGAAACACUCAGGCACUUUCAGGCACGCUGAGUAACAGGGGUGUCCUUUUACACAGAGACAAGGUGCUCUGUGGUCCACCCUUUACUUGGAUCCCCAGAUCAGCAUUCUCAUCAGGCAGAAGUAACCAGAGGAGGAAACAGCAUUUCUUCAAAGCUGAAGAGAGCUUUUUGGAGGGGAAAAUAAAAAAUCCUAGGAACUCCUUGCAUGACUGAUGGUUUGAACAAUGGCUUUGCACCCCAAGACCAGCCUGGCCUCGUGGUUGUAAAUCUGGGGGCCGUUGACAAACGGUUUCCCACCUUGGGACUUGAGUCUGCAGUUCAAGAGUCACGUGGGCCUGCCUGAGCCGCAGGGCUUGGCCCCUGUGCUGAGCACAGGCUUCUAGAAGAAGG
rnacentral:lncRNA from 10 species